UGGUUAAUUUAGGGGAGUGAUUUUCUUUUUAUUUGUCAGUCCUGUUCUUUAUCAGACACUUCAGUUGGCGUCUGUCCCUCAGAUUCAGACAUCCAGGACCCUGGACCUGUGCUUCCCGUGGGAGCUGCUGGGCUGGCCGAGGAGUUUCAAGCUUUGCUCCAGCAGUCAGAACUACUUCAUAUGCAGCUGUCAACUCAAAAUCAUAGACCUGUCCUCUGCCCAUCCAGGGCACACUGUGACACAAACUUUUCUGGUUGUCAUGACUGCGAUUUUAUAGUUAAAACUGAGUAGGGAGAUGAGGAUUCUGCUAGAGAAAACAAGUAAAUCUUUAUGAAAUUGUUCUUCUCAGACUCAGAAGGGAAGAAGAGCCCAAGGGCGACUCCUAUCACACCAAAAGAAGAGGCUUCACUUGGAGUCACUCUCCUGGAUUGAGCCUGGUUUGUUACCCAGAAAGAAGUGGCUUCCUGGGGCAGACAGUCACAUGCUGAAAGCCGACAAAGAAUUUUAAGGGCAUCUGUGUUUCUGUGAUUUGUAUGCCAUGGAACUGAAGCCCUGAUUCGACCUUGCUACUCCAGGCUGCGUGAUCAAGAACACUACCACCCCACAUACAUUUUCCCAUUCAAUCUCUACAAUGCCCCCGAAAUGUUUAUACAUUAUUUUCCAACUGAAAAGAUUUAGAAACUAAAUAUAUUUUAUUGUUGCAGGAUAGGAAAUUCAAAUAGCUUAUAUGUUAAUAAAUGGCCAGGAUCAUGAUUCAA